rnacentral:rRNA from 1 species
GACGAACGCUGGCGGCGUGCCUAAUACAUGCAAGUCGAGCGGACAGAUGGGAGCUUGCUCCCUGAUGUUAGCGGCGGACGGGUGAGUAACACGUGGGUAACCUGCCUGUAAGACUGGGAUAACUCCGGGAAACCGGGGCUAAUACCGGAUGGUUGUUUGAACCGCAUGGUUCAAACAUAAAAGGUGGCUUCGGCUACCACUUACAGAUGGACCCGCGGCGCAUUGGCUAGUUGGUGAGGUAACGGCUCACCAAGGCAACGAUGCGUAGCCGACCUGAGAGGGUGAUCGGCCACACUGGGACUGAGACACGGCCCAGACUCCUACGGGAGGCAGCAGUAGGGAAUCUUCCGCAAUGGACGAAAGUCUGACGGAGCAACGCCGCGUGAGUGAUGAAGGUUUUCGGAUCGUAAAGCUCUGUUGUUAGGGAAGAACAAGUACCGUUCAAAUAGGGCGGUACCUUGACGGUACCUAACCAGAAAGCCACGGCUAACUACAUGCCAGCAGCCGCGGUAA